AACGAACGCUGGCGGCAGGCUUAACACAUGCAAGUCGAACGCGUGCAGCAAUGCACGAGUGGCGCACGGGUGAGUAACGAGUGGAUAUCUGCCUUUUGGUUCGGAAUAACCCCGGGAAACUGGGGCUAAUACCGGAUGGUUCCUACGGGAUAAAGAUUUAUCGCCAAAAGAUGAGUCCGCGUCCGAUUAGCUAGUUGGUGAGGUAAUGGCUCACCAAGGCGACGAUCGGUAGCUGGUCUGAGAGGACGAUCAGCCACACUGGGACUGAGACACGGCCCAGACUCCUACGGGAGGCAGCAGUGGGGAAUAUUGGACAAUGGGGGCAACCCUGAUCCAGCCAUGCCGCGUGAAUGAUGAAGGCCUUCGGGUUGUAAAGCUCUUUUGGCGGGGACGAUGAUGACGGUACCCGCAGAAUAAGCCCCGGCUAACUUCGUG
rnacentral:rRNA from 1 species